rnacentral:rRNA from 1 species
CAAGCAGUGGAGUAUGUGUUUAAUUCGAAGCAACGCGAAGAACCUUACCAGGGCUCGACAUCCCUUGAAGCAGCUAGAGAUUAGCUGUGUCCUUCGGGACAAGGAGACAGGUGGUGCAUGGUUGUCGUCAGCUCGUGUCGUGAGAUGUUGGGUUAAGUCCUGCAACGAGCGCAACCCUCGUCGCUAGUUGAUUUCUCUAGCGAGACUGCCCCGCAAAACGGGGAGGAAGGUGGGGAUGACGUCAAGUCAGCAUGGCCUUUAUAUCUUGGGCUACACACACGCUACAAUGGAUGGCACAAUAGGUUGCAACAGCGCGAGCUGAAGCUAAUCCCCAAAGCCAUCCUCAGUACAGAUUGCAGGCUGAAACCCGCCUGCAUGAAGUCGGAGUUGCUAGUAACCGCAAAUCAGCAUGUUGCGGUGAAUACGUUCUCGGGCCUU